rnacentral:rRNA from 6 species
AGACCCGAAACCCGGUGAUCUAGCCAUGGGCAGGUUGAAGGUUGGGUAACACUAACUGGAGGACCGAACCGACUAAUGUUGAAAAAUUAGCGGAUGACCUGUGGCUGGGGGUGAAAGGCCAAUCAAACCGGGAGAUAGCUGGUUCUCCCCGAAAGCUAUUUAGGUAGCGCCUCGUGAAUUCAUCUCCGGGGGUAGAGCACUGUUUCGGCUAGGGGGCCAUCCCGGCUUACCAACCCGAUGCAAACUGCGAAUACCGGAGAAUGUUAUCACGGGAGACACACGGCGGGUGCUAACGUCCGUCGUGAAGAGGGAAACAACCCAGACCGCCAGCUAAGGUCCCAAAGUCAUGGUUAAGUGGGAAACGAUGUGGGAAGGCCCAGACAGCCAGGAUGUUGGCUUAGAAGCAGCCAUCAUUUAAAGAAAGCGUAAUAGCUCACUGGUCGAGUCGGCCUGCGCGGAAGAUGUAACGGGGCUAAACCAUGCACCGAAGCUGCGGCAGCGACGCUUAUGCGUUGUUGGGUAGGGGAGCGUUCUGUAAGCCUGUGAAGGUGGCCUGUGAGGGUUGCUGGAGGUAUCAGAAGUGCGAAUGCUGACAUAAGUAACGAUAAAGCGGGUGAAAAGCCCGCUCGCCGGAAGACCAAGGGUUCCUGUCCAACGUUAAUCGGGGCAGGGUGAGUCGACCCCUAAGGCGAGGCCGAAAGGCGUAGUCGAUGGGAAACGGGUUAAUAUUCCCGUACUUGGUGUUACUGCGAAGGGGGGACGGAGAAGGCUAUGUUGGCCGGGCGACGGUU